rnacentral:rRNA from 1 species
CCUACGGGAGGCAGCAGUGGGGAAUAUUGCACAAUGGGGGAAACCCUGAUGCAGCGACGCCGCGUGAGUGAAGAAGUAAUUAGUUACGUAAAGCUCUAUCAGCAGGGAAGAAAAUGACGGCACCUGAGUAAGAAGGCCCGGCUCACAACGAGCCAGCAGCCGCGGCAAUACGUAGGGGGCACGCGUUAUCCGGAUUUACUGGGGGUUAAGGGAGCGUAGACGGUAAGGCAAGUCUGGAGUGAAAUGCCGGAGCUUAACUGCUGGACUGCUUUGGAAACUGGCGAUCUAGAGUGCGGGAGGGGUAAGCGGAAUUCCUGGUGUAGCGGUGAAGUGCGUAGAUAUUAGGAGGAACACCGAUUGCGAAGGCAGCUUACUGGCGCGUAACUGACGUUGAGGCACGAAAGCGUGGGGAGCGAACAGGAUUAGAUACCCCUGUAGUC